rnacentral:rRNA from 1 species
UCCACGCCGUAAACGAUGGGCACUAGAUGUUGCGGGUAACCACUCCUGCAGUGUCGCAGCUAACGCAUUAAGUGCCCCGCCUGGGGAGUACGGCCGCAAGGCUAAAACUCAAAGGAAUUGGACCGGGGGCCCGCACAAGUGGUGGAGCAUGUGGUUUAAUUCGAAAAUACGCGAAGAACCUUACCUAGCCUUGACAUUGAAGAAACACAGUAGAGAUACAGUGGUGCCCUUCG